UGGGGAAUAUUGCGCAAUGGGGGGAACCCUGACGCAGCCAUGCCGCGUGAAUGAAGAAGGCCUUAGGGUUGUAAAGUUCUUUCGGUAUUGAGGAAGGUUGAUGUGUUAAUAGCACAUCAAAUUGACGUUAAAUACAGAAGAAGCACCGGCUAACUCCGUGCCAGCAGCCGCGGUAAUACGGAGGGUGCGAGCGUUAAUCGGAAUAACUGGGCGUAAAGGGCACGCAGGCGGUUAUUUAAGUGAGGUGUGAAAGCCCCGGGCUUAACCUGGGAAUUGCAUUUCAGACUGGGUAACUAGAGUACUUUAGGGAGGGGUAGAAUUCCACGUGUAGCGGUGAAAUGCGUAGAGAUGUGGAGGAAUACCGAAGGCGAAGGCAGGCCCUUGGGAAUGUACUGACGCUCAUGUGCGAAAGCGUGGGGAGCAAACAGGAUUAGAUACCCUGGUAGUCCACGCUGUAAACGCUGUCGAUUUGGGGGUUGGGGUUUAACUCUGGCGCCCGUAGCUAACGUGAUAAAUCGACCGCCUGGGGAGUACGGCCGCAAGGUUA
rnacentral:rRNA from 1 species